CUCCGCAGCUUUUGCUGCAU
rnacentral:miRNA from 1 species